rnacentral:rRNA from 1 species
GACGAACGCUGGCGGCAGGCCUAACACAUGCAAGUCGAGCGGACCUUUCAGGGUCAGCGGCGGACGGGUGAGUAACGCGUGGGAAUAUGCCCUUCUCUACGGAAUAGUCCUGGGAAACUGGGGGUAAUACCGUAUACGCCCUUUGGGGGAAAGAUUUAUCGGGGAAGGAUUAGCCCGCGUUGGAUUAGGUAGUUGGUGGGGUAAUGGCCUACCAAGCCGACGAUCCAUAGCUGGUUUGAGAGGAUGAUCAGCCACACUGGGACUGAGACACGGCCCAGACUCCUACGGGAGGCAGCAGUGGGGAAUCUUAGACAAUGGGGGCAACCCUGAUCUAGCCAUGCCGCGUGAGUGAUGAAGGCCUUAGGGUUGUAAAGCUCUUUCAGCUGGGAAGAUAAUGACGGUACCAGCAGAAGAAGCCCCGGCUAACUCCGUG